rnacentral:rRNA from 1 species
GACGAACGCUGGCGGCGUGCUUAACACAUGCAAGUCGAACGGAAAGGCCCUGCUUUUGUGGGGUGCUCGAGUGGCGAACGGGUAAGUAACACGUGAGUAACCUGCCCUUGACUUUGGGAUAACUUCAGGAAACUGGGGCUAAUACCGGAUAGGAGCUCCUGCUGCAUGGUGGGGGUUGGAAAGUUUCGGCGGUUGGGGAUGGACUCGCGGCUUAUCAGCUUGUUGGUGGGGUAGUGGCUUACCAAGGCUUUGACGGGUAGCCGGCCUGAGAGGGUGACCGGCCACAUUGGGACUGAGAUACGGCCCAGACUCCUACGGGAGGCAGCAGUGGGGAAUAGUGCAAAAUGGGCGGAAGCCUGAUGCAGCAACGCCGCGUGCGGGAUGACGGCCUUCGGGUUGUAAACCGCUUUCGCCUGUGACGAAGCGUGAGUGACGGUAAUGGGUAAAGAAGCACCGGCUAACUACGUG